UAAUCAUCCUGCCUUUACAGAUUCUGAGGUCCCUGUUGCCUCGUGCCAGGGCCAACUUCUCCACGUCAACGAGGACCCAGCUCCAAAAUAAAGUGAAAGAAAAUCAGAUGCGAUUUCAGAAAGACGAUGGCUUGCCAGUGCAUCUGAAGGGAGGUAUCAUGGACAAAUUUUCAUACACUGCAAUCAUGGGUUUGACGGUGGCCGGAACAGGAUGGGUCUGCUACGAACUGUUCGAUCUCUCAAUGCCAAAGAAGUAGAGCCCCCAAAGUUGCGUCCUUCAAGCUGUCUCCAGAGUUCAAUUUUUUUGUGUCAAUUUGGUAUUUUUUGUCGUGUGUUUUUUUACUAGAACAAAGAUGGGCAGGAGGAAGCCAUUAAAGCUGGGACUUCUGUUGAUCCGAGGGUACGGAUAGCCUACAAUGCGGCCAUGUCUAUUGCCGGAGUCUGCUUUGCAUUUCUGGGCUAUGCUCUGUACCUGGCUGCCCAAAAAGCUGAAUCACACGAUGCAAAGAAAACUUGAAAACCAAUCCAAAUAUUACAUUCAAAGUUUCAAAUUAAUAAAAGAUGCCUCACAGUCAACUGUGUACUUGCAUUACUGAAAAAGAGUGAUCAGAUGCCAACUAUGUAACAAAACCUCUUCUGCAGGCAUGCAACUUUUCCUCGGAUCAGCUGAUUUCCUCUUUUUUUACUUCCCAUGUGUGCCAUUGAAAAUAGAAAAACACUGUACAAAGUUCGGGGAAAAUUUGAAUUUCCUCUUUUUUUUUGGUGAUUUCCCAGUUGCAUGCCUGCUUCUGGAAUGGCUCUGUAUGGAGCCAAGAUAUGGUCGCCGAUUUGGGUGUCUUUCACUGAUGCAGGGGACAGUUAUGUGAAACAGUCAUCACAUCUUUGUUACCAUAAGUAAUUACACAAGCUCUGAUUUUGGUAAAGCUGAUUGUCAGAACUGUGUGAAGAACCCGACAUAGAUAAAUCUUUCUAAAUCGGAGCAGAGUUCCAUUCAAAGUGGAGCAACACCACACAAGAGACAAUGAGACAAUUGCCUCAUUGCUCGAGAUGAUAACACCAUCCAAACACCAUUACUAUUUUUUCCUGCCCAUUUUUGGUUCACCAUUUACAUGAUACUUUGGAAGGAAUGCAUAUAUAUAAAUGUAUUAUCUUAGAAUUGAAUUUGAAAUGAGUUUGCAUGUAUUUUUUUAAAGUCCUGUUUUCAUCAAUGGUAACUUUGUUAAAGAGAUUUAGACAAAACUGGGGACUAUGCACACAAAAAUUCAGGUGUCAAAGUUGAGUGCUUGAAAUGAGCUUUUCAAAAAAGGAUGUAUUGUUUUUGUUUGGAGUGUUACAUGUAGUUACAGACAGGGAGGUACGAAUUAUACACAAUCAUAAUUUGUGUUCAAAAUUGGAGCCAUACAAGGGUGGUAUUCUAAUCAAUUUAUUCACUUGUAGUGUCGUAGGCACUAAAUUUUUGUAGAGAUUACAAUUUACUACAUAGCCAUUUGGAAUGUAGCUAUACUUGUAUGUUUUAUUGUGCAUAUUUGAAGUGUUAAUUUUCUGCCGACAACCAAUAAAGGAGGAAAUUGACGUCAAAUAUUUUACUAAAGUUCACAGGAAAAAUACCAUUCGUGCACGAAGCAUAGAAGUAUAUUUACAUACUCAACUCGCACUUUAACUGUUUAUGAGUUACAAAAAAAUACUAGUCAAGCCUUUCAAGGCGAUUGCAGAUAUACAUUGUACAUUCUUUGGUGGAGUGUCUUGAAAAACAAAAUGUUAUUUGGUAUAUUGCAAUAAAUUUGGUUGACCUUAUUCGAACAGAGAA